UUUAUCAGGAUGGUCGAGUGGUUAAGGCACUGCGUACAGUUCGCAGUCCACUUCUGUGGGCGUGGGUUCGAAUCCCAUGACAAUAAAA